UCCUCGCCUCGCCAAGGGCGCGGUCCAUCGUGGACCGCGACCCCCGCGCCCGCACGGCCGGUCCACUGGACCCGGCUCACCGCCCCGCGCCCCCCCCGGUCCACCGUGGACCGGUGCACCCCGCGCCGCACCCGGUCCACCGUGAACCCGCCAGCCGCAAGCCGCCACGUGGCCAGGACGGCCACGGUCCCCACGCGCCCCUGCGUUUUUGCAAAAACCCUCCUAGGUUUCUUUGAAAUCAACCCGCGCUCCAUUUAGUUUUAGAUUUAUUUAAUUUAUGCCCCUGCUUUUACAGUUUAGCCCCUGCACCCGUUAGAAUUUAUGUAUUUAAUCCAAAAUGAGUUUUAAUUCAGUUUUAAUUAGUUUUAAUUACGAAAAAUAGUUUAAUUUAUCUACAGAAAUGCCAUUCAACUUGUUUUAGCCAUAACUUUUGCAUCGUAACUCCGAUUUAGGUGAUUCUGGUCGCUAUAGUUUCGUUUCAUCGAGUAGAAUACAGUAGUGCAGUUGCUUUAUGCUUUCGCAUGCUUUGGUGUACUGUUUCUGAUUAAGUUUGUUUGCUUGCAUGUAUUGUUCCUAUGAUUGAUGAUUGUCGCGUAUAGCCAACGAGACGUUCGUGAAGGAAGAGGUUCAGGAUCCCGCUGAGUUCGAGCAACCCGACUUCGAUCAAGGCAAGUGCAGACACCAUUUGAUCAUUUUGAACCUACUCAUUAAUGUCAUUUACUUUAUAUGCAUGUGUCCAAUGAAUGCAAACCCUAAGGACAUGACUAGCUUUACUUAUUAUUCCUUGCUCACCUGGGGUUAUGUAUUUGGGUAGUCUAGGAUAUACUAGGUUUGCUUAGCUGCUCUACUCAUCUUAUACACAUGCCUAAACAAGUAUUAAUCUCUACUCAACUUGACGCUUAAAUUGUGCUGAAUCUUUGGUCACUACGGUGAUGGCGAUGUUGGAUGCUUACGAGCAUCGUGAUGAUGGUGGUGACAGGGGGAGCGGGUACUGUUGGUGGUCCGGUUUGCCGGUCGUACCCGUCUCUGCUCUCCGUAAGGACUUAGUCAGAGAGCGGCCCCCUGGGACUUACAGUGCAGCUCCAAGCUAUAUGGGCUCUGGCUUGACUAAUUAUCAGGACCUCCACUGGUAGGGUGUUACUUUCCGGGUAGGCGUAAGGAAUGUAGCUUGGGUAUUCAUAUUAAGAGGUCGGUCAGUUCGGGGUCCCAUUGCUAUGGGCACGACUGCCGCGCGCCCCGGCAAAAACUUACGAGUGGCAUCCUAUUAGUUGGACCCUGUGAAAGGUCUCGUAGUGAGACCCUGCCUGCUCACCUUGGCAGUGUUUUGGGGAGUCAUGACCCCGGGCAAAUGGGAAUCACGACUUGGAGUGAACGUGCACACCUCUACAGAGUGUAAAACUGAUAUAUCAGCCGUGCUCACGGUCACGAGCGGCCCAGACCCUCACUUGAUGAGCAAAUUGGAUUCACUGGAUACUUGGAGAUGGAACUUGGCGAGGUUGCUACCUCGUGUUUUGGCGGAAUGGCUAUUCCGUGUUGGCAGGAUUGCUAUCCUGUGUUAAUAAUUGGGGUUAAUCCCUGGAUUACUAUAAUAAUUAGGAUAGUCUUUUAAAAGAUGCUAAUUACUACUUACACUAAUUAAGGGUUGGGUUUAUGCUACUCAUAUUUAGUAAUAGGUUGUUCUAGUAAUUGUCAUAAUUAAAAGUGAUCAACUAAAAUGCUACCGCAGUCAAACCAAGUCAGCUUUACCUUGUUUUAAGCUUUGCAUGUCAUUUACUUUCCGUCUGUGCUUGCUGAGUUCGACAUGAGCUCACCCUUGCUAUAAUCAUUAAAGGUUGCUCGGACGAUCAGGAUUACAAUUGUGAUUUCCCUGAGGACUACCCUGAGUCUCCCGGUUGUUAGGCUCGUGUGGUUCUACCGUCGACCUUCCUGUGGCAAGGUGGUCCUGCUACGUCGGCGUUUAGUUUUCCCUUUAUUUAUGGAACAGUUUAGUUUAUGUUUCCCCUCCGCACUUUGAUAAACAUUUGGCUUGUAAUAAUGGUACUUUUACUCUCAUUUAUGUAAUUCGUUUGAACACUGUGUUUUGUACCAUUGAUGAUGUCGGUCCAUGUGUGUGAAUUUGAGAUCCUGGCGCACAUGUGAUUUGGCACCCGAAUGCUCUUUUACAUCCGGGUGUGACAGAAGUGGUACCAAAGCCGUGUUGACCGUAGGAUCACGCAGCCUAGUUAGAAACAGCCGUUUAGAUUGUCCCUUUUGGGUGGAAUACACCAUUGGAUCUAUUAACUACCUUACUAACCUGUCUCAUUAGACUUUAUCUAUUAGCCUUAUCUACUUACUUUUACUAACAGUUCAGUUUAUUCACUUACUUCCUGCAUUUAUUACCUUGUUAUUAUUUAUUGCUUUCUAUUUCUCAUAUUGCAUUUAUAUUCUUGUUUCAACUUUUACUACUUGUUAUUUGAACCUUUCUUUUAUACCUUGUCAUUUAUUAUCAUUCUACUCAUAUUACCUUCUUGUUCCUUGUUUUUCAUUUAUUACUUGAGUUAUGUUUUAUUUCUGCCUUGACAAUAAAUUUCAUUACCUUGUUUUCACUUUAUACCUUCAUUACUUGCUUUUAUAUCUUACCAUAAAUACCACCAAAGUUCAUAUUGUCCAUCCAUUAUAUAAUCUUGGUUCAUCUUCAUUACACAUACACUUUUACCUUCAUUUAUGUUAUUCAUUUAUCUAUCAUUGUCAUGAUCUAUUAACCGUUUCCUGCAUGUCUAUGAUCUUAUGCAUAAGUAGAUGACUCGCCACCUGACCUGCCGCAAGAGCGUUAUUCGUUUCCGUCCCGUUCAAGCUGUGGAGUUCUCGUUGACUGGUCGCGUGGAUAACAUCGUGUUCCAGCCUAACCAGCAUCUUGAUGACGGUGCUAACCUCCAAGACGCGGAACCCUAUGAAGGACAGCAACCACCUCAAGCUCUGGUGGUGCAUGGAAGGGCGCCUUGCUGGGCACCGGGAGGAGAUGAUCCCUUCGGUGAUGAUGACAUGGAUGAUGAUGAUGAUGAGGAUGCACCUGGAGGACCCGGUGGACCUGGAGGACCUGGAGGUCAAGAUGGACUUUUUGCUGCUGAUGAUGGGUGGAUUGUGACAGUCUGCACCAGGGAUGGUGGAGAGUGUUUCUUCCACAGCGAGCUGAAGCGUCUCCUUGACCAGCAGCUGGGACAUGGCAUGUUCUCAGUGGAGUACCGCAGUGAGCACUGGAGUCACCCAGACUACCCGGCGUACUGGAAGGUCUGGGCACACGUCGGCAGGCCUAACCCGACGUUGAGGGCACUGAGGAUCAUGUCCAUACAUGAGGCUGUGGCUGAGAGGUCUACCCAGAUGGCGGGCAUUAAUGAUGCUGCUCGCCAGGCUUUCUACGCAUACCGUGACCACUUCUUCGAGGAGAUCAGCCAAGCGUCGCUACUACCCUCGCCGUCGCCGUGGAGAGUUGGCAAUGGCUAUUGCUUCCACCACUGAUGAGCAAGACCCCCGCGUGCACAGGACUGUCAAGCUGGUGGCGGUCACUAACACCGAGCUCAACAGUUCACUAGUGGAGCUGAAGCAAGUCAGGAAGGAGCUGGACGACGCCAGGAAGAGGAUAGCGCAGCUGGAGGCUCAGAUCACUGGAGUGCCACCGCCUUCACCUAAGUGGCCUGCUUUCUCUCCGCCUCGUGAAGAUCCAGCCUAUGGAGAUGCCAGCGCUCGUACUACUAUAGAAUUGGAGCUAUUCCCAGCUUAGUAAUAAAUAGUGCCACGCUUAGAACGUUAGCACGAUCUUAGUUAUGCGAGUCUAGUGUUUAGUCGUUUGCUUAGUGUGCUUUGCUUGGUCUGUGUGAGAACUUGAUUUAUUAUUGUGUUAAUGGUGUGAUUUGGUUCUUUGUAAUGAGUGCGAUGAGUUGUGGGUUAUAUCCACAACGCAUCAAGAACAAGAUUAAGUAUUAAGUUUAUUUGAGAUAGUUAGUUUGGGUUAUCAUCGGUCUCCUUUAUUUGUGCUUUAUCAUAUUUCAUAAUCGCUUUAUCUUAUCAGUCUUACUUUAUCAUGAUCAGUUCAGUAUCUAUAUAUUACAUCUAUUCUGAGUACUGUGUUUAUCAACUGAGAAAGGAAAGUGAAUAUCAGCUGGUUCAUACUGUGAGGAAAGAUUUUCACAUUGCAGUUUACAUUACAGCUCAGGUUUACACAUAUGAACUACAUCUGAUUUUAUUAUAUUAUUUCUAUACAUCAGAUGCCUGUCCACACCAGGAGCAACACCAAUGGAGGAAACAAUGGGCAGUCCAACAACAACAACAAUGAUCAGAGCGGGACUAAUGCCAACCCUCCUCCUCCUGGGAAUCAGCCCAUGACCAUAGAGCAGUUGAUGACUAUGCAGACUCAACUGAUGCAAGGGAUGGCUCAUAUUAUGAACCACAUGCAGCAGAACCAAAACCAGAAUCAGAACCAACAUCAAGGAGGUAACAACGCGUUUGCCCCACCCAGGGACAAGCGUGGAGAGUUCAUGAAGGGACGUCCACCGUUCUUCUCCCACUCAGCUGAUCCUAUGCAAGCUGAGGAUUGGCUUAAAGCUGUGGAGAAGCAGCUGGUCAUCGCUCAGUGCAAUGACAGGGAGAAGGUUCUGUAUGGCUCUGGGCAGCUUCAGGGAGCCGCACAGGACUGGUGGGAUUCGUACUGCUUUGCACAUCAGGACUCGGAUACUAUCACUUGGGAUGAGUUCAAGGUCGCCUUCAAGACUCAUCAUGUGUCUGCUGGAUUGGUGAAGCUGAAGAAGAAGGAGUUUCUGUCUCUGAAGCAGGGCUCCAUGACAGUUUGUGAGUACCGUGACAAGUUCACUCAGUUGUCGCGGUAUUGCCCCAAUGAAGUGGAGAAUGAUGAAGACAAGCAAGACCACUUCCUGGAAGGUUUGAAUGAUGGUCUGUCCUACAUGAUGUCAAAUGUCAAGUAUGCCAGUUUUCAGGAGAUGGUGGACAGGGCAUUGGUGCUUGAGAGCAAGCGCCGCAAGAUGGAAGACAAGAAGAGGAAGUAUAAUUCCUCUCAGCAGCAGGCUGGUGCCAGUCGUCCCCGUUACAACAAGCAGCAGGGCCCUCAGUCUCGCCCUGCAUAUCAGUCUGGUAACCAAGGACAGCAGCAGAAUGUCAGGUACAGCAACCAGAGUCAGCAGACGAGCCAGCGCUACAACAACAACCAAGUGCAGCGCCCCGCUAGCCAGGCGCCUCGCCAGAAUGCCCCAGCACCAUCAGGCUCUCGCCAGAACUCCAACGCUGUCCCAGUGAAGCCCAAUGUCAACCCCGCCCCCACUGGAAAUACCUGCUUCAAGUGUGGUCAGCCUAGACACUACGCGAAUGCUUCCCCCCAGAAGCAGAAGAACAACAAUGGAAGGGUGAACCAUGUGAAGCUGGAAACUGCUGAGGAGGCUCCAGAUGUGGUAGUUGGUACGUUCCUUGUCAACUCUUGCCCAGCUACUGUUUUGUUUGAUACUGGAGCAUCACAUACUUUUAUAAGUGCACAGUUUGUUGAGAAACAUAGUAUAGCCACCUGUACCAUGCAAAACACCAUGCUAGUUAAAUCACCUGGGGGAAAGAUGCAUACUAAUACUUUGUGUCCGGGAAUGAGCAUUAAAAUAAGGGGGGUAGAUUUUCUUGUCAAUCCUAUUGUGUUGGGUUCAGAAGGUUUAGAUAUGAUAUUGGGAAUGAGAUGGUUGUCCAAGUUUAAGGGUACUAUUCAGUGUGCUGAGAAGACAGUGGCUCUAACAGCACCUAGUGGGAACAGAAUUGAGGUCAGAGUUUCUAUGUCACCUAGCAGUGAAGGAACAGUUUACCAUGUGAGCAGUGGGUCAGUAGAAGAUAUUCGAGUUGUGAAAGAGUUCCCUGAUGUGUUCCCAGAGGAUUUGCCAGGUAUGCCACCUGAACGUGAGAUUGAAUUUGUUAUUGAUUUAUUACCUGGUACUGCACCCAUAUCUAAGAGACCUUAUAGAAUGGCUGUUAAUGAGUUAGAAGAACUUAAGAAACAACUAAGGGAGUUACAGUCUAAGGGGUAUAUCCGUCCUAGUUCCUCACCUUGGGGAGCUCCAGUUAUCUUUGUAGAGAAGAAGGAUGGGACACAGAGGAUGUGUGUAGACUAUAGAUCUUUGAAUGAGGUCACAAUUAAGAAUAAAUACCCGUUGCCUAGAAUAGAGGACCUAUUUGACCAGUUGAAAGGAGUUUGUGUGUUUUCCAAGAUAGAUCUGAGGUCAGGAUAUCACCAGUUGAGGAUUAAACCCAGUGAUAUUCCAAAGACUGCUUUCACCACCAGAUAUGGACUUUAUGAAUAUACAGUUAUGUCUUUUGGAUUGACUAAUGCUCCAGCUUACUUUAUGUAUCUGAUGAAUAAAGUUUUUAUGGAGUAUUUGGAUAAGUUUGUGGUAGUCUUUAUUGAUGAUAUCUUGAUCUACUCCAAGACUGAGGAAGAACAUGAGGAACACCUAAGACUUGUGUUGCAGAAAUUGAGGGAACAUCAGCUCUAUGCCAAGUUGAGUAAGUGUGACUUCUGGUUGAAGGAAGUGUCUUUUCUUGGUCAUGUCAUUUCAAAUGGUGGAGUUGCUGUCAGUCCGAAGAAUGUGGCAGAUGUUCUUAAGUGGAGUCCACCUCAGACUGUUGGAGAGAUCAGAAGUUUUCUUGGAAUGGCCGGUUACUAUCGGAGAUUCAUUGAAGGGUUUUCCAGUAUUGCCAAGCCCAUGACCGCUUUGUUAGAGAAGGGUAAGCCAUUCAAGUGGAAUGAACAGUGUCAGGCUAGUUUUGAGGAAUUGAAGAAGAGGUUGACUACUGCACCAAUUUUGACUUUGCCAGAUGUGACUAAAAGCUUUUCUAUCUAUUGUGAUGCUUCCAAGCAAGGUUUGGGAUGUGUGCUGAUGCAAGAGGGAAAGGUGAUUGCCUAUGCAUCUAGGCAGUUGAAGAAACAUGAGGUGAAUUAUCCAACUCAUGAUCUUGAGUUAGCAGCUGUGGUCCAUUCACUGAAAAUCUGGAGACACUAUAUUCUGGGUCAUAAGUGUGAUAUCUACACGGAUCACAAGAGUCUGAAAUACAUCUUCACUCAGAAUGACUUGAACCUAAGACAGAGAAGAUGGUUAGAGUUGAUCAAAGACUAUGAACUGGAGAUUCAUUACCACCCUGGCAAAGCUAAUGUAGUUGCUGAUGCUCUGAGUAGAAAGAGUCAAGUGAAUAUGAUGGAAGCCACGGAGUUACCGAUGGAACUACUGACAGAAUUUGAGUAUCUCAAUUUGGGGUUUGUUGCUAAUACCCAAGGGACUUCCAUGGACAUAGAACCAACUCUUGAGCAAGAGAUCAGAAAAGGUCAGAAAGAGGAUGAAGAGAUCAAAAAGAUACUUAAGCUGAUAGAGGAAGGUAGAGCACCUGGAUUCAAAGUUGAUCAAGAAGGGAUUGUUUGGCACAAGGACCGAUUGUGUGUGCCUGAUAUUCAGAGAAUCAAGGAUGUGAUACUGAAGGAGUGCCAUGAAUCUGCUUACUCUAUUCAUCCAGGAGGUACUAAGGAGGUACUAAGAUGUAUCAGGACUUGAAGCAAAACUAUUGGUGGCCUGGUAUGAAGAAAGAUAUUGGUGAAUAUGUGGCAUUGUGUGACACCUGUCAGAGAGUGAAAGCGGAACAUCAGAGGCCAGCAGGGUUGUUGCAACCAUUGAAGAUACCUGAGUGGAAGUGGGAUGAGAUCAGCAUGGACUUCAUAGUGGGAUUGCCGAAAACUCAACGAGGUUAUGACUCAAUAUGGGUUGUAGUAGAUCGAUUGACCAAGGUAGCUCAUUUCAUACCGGUCAGAACGAACUACCGUGGAGAUCAGUUAGCAGAAAAGUAUAUGGAACGAAUUGUGUGUUUGCAUGGAGUUCCUAAGAGGAUUGUGUCUGAUAGAGGUACACAGUUUACAUCAAAAUUUUGGGAGAAGUUACAUGAUGCUUUGGGAACCGAGCUCAGAUUCAGUACUGCUUAUCACCCUCAGUCCGAUGGUCAGACAGAGAGAGUCAACCAGAUAGUAGAGGAUAUGCUCAGGUCUUGUGCUUUACAGUAUGGGAAUAGUUGGGAUGCUAGUUUGCCCUACGCUGAGUUCUCCUAUAACAGCAGUUAUCAGACUAGUCUUAAGAUGACUCCUUUUGAAGCCUUGUAUGGAAGGAAGUGUAGGACUCCAUUGUUCUGGAACCAGACUGGUGAAAGGCAAGUGUUCGGCCCUGAUUCAUUGAGAAUAGCCGAAGAAAGUGUUCAGUUCAUCCGACAGACUCUGAAGGCAGCUCAGUCUAGACAGAAGAGUUAUGCUGAUGUGAGACGAAGGGAACUUGUAUUUCAGGCAGGUGAUUAUGUAUACCUGAAAGUGUCUCCGAUGAGGGGUCUAAAGAGGUUCAAUGUUAAGGGAAAGCUAGCUCCAAGAUAUGUUGGUCCUUUUAAGAUUUUGGAGAGGAAAGGAGAAGUGGCUUAUGAGCUUGAACUGCCUGUUAGUUUAUCCAACGUGCACAAUGUUUUCCAUGUCUCCCAAUUCAAGAAAUGUCUGAGAGUGCCUGAGGAACAGUUGCCACUAGAGGAACUGGAUUUACAGGAUAAUCUAACUUAUGAAGAGAGUCCUAUCAAAGUCCUGGACACAGCAGAGAGAAUUACCAGGAGUAAAACUAUCAGGAUGUGUAAAGUACAAUGGAAACACCAUUCCGAGGAAGAAGCAACCUGGGAAAGAGAAGAUGAUAUAAUAUCCAAAUACCCUCAGUUAUUCCCUGGUUCAUCCUAAUCUCGAGGACGAGAUUCUUUUAAGGGGGGUAGGUUUAUAACACUCCAAAUUUUUGAAUUUCAAAUUUAGUUUAAAUUUGAUUUAAUUUUGGCUUAGUUUGAAUUUUUGGAGAAUUAUUAAAUAAUUUACAAAAUUAAUUAAAAUAAAUAUAAGGUAGAAACGUGUUUGAUUUUUGCAUUCAUGCUGCUGCAUAAUUUUGCUUGAUUUUAUUUAUUUUGCUGAUGCUUGUUUUGUUUUGUUUUGGAGCAAGAAAAUUUAAAAAAAAAGAAAAAGGGGAGAGCUCUCACCUGGGCCGAUUCUCGGCCCAGCCCCCGCGCGCGCGCCCCCCCUUCUCCCCGCACGGCCCAGCAGCGGCCCAGCCGCAGGGCCGCAGCGCCCCCAGCCCGCCUGCCGCCCGCAGCCGCUGACAGUGGGGCCCGCGAGUGGGUCCCACCCGUCAGGCGGGGGCGUCUUCAACCUCCCGUCCGAAUCGGACGGGAGCAACCGCCGCGCCGCCUCCUCCUCGGCUUCCGCGCAAAUCCCGCGUCCCGAGCUUCGCCCGCGCUUUAAAUAGCCUCCCUCGGCCGCCCGCACGUGCCCUAGCCGCCUCCGAAGCCCUAGCCGACACGCCGAGUUCCGCAGCGCCGCCGCCGAGCUCCCCGCGCCGCCGCCGCCGUCGAACUCGCUCCGCCGCCACUGUUCGCCCCGAGGUGAGCAUCCCCCGAGCUCCGCCCUCUCGCGACGAACGCGCUCGAGCACUCGGCGGGCCUUUUCCCCCUCUCUGCCGCGCGUACGGCCUCGCCGGAGUCCGCCGCCGCCGCCGUCUCGCACCGCCGCGCGGCCAGCGCGCCCCGGCCAUCCUCGGCCUCAACCCGCGUGCGCAUCGGCUCCGCCGUAACGCCCGCAACCCGCCACCGCCCUCGGCUCGCCUCCCCAUGCCCCGGUUCGCCGUCCCGGCGAAGUUCCGAGCCGCGGCCAUGGCGCGCCGCCGCGGCCGGCCGCCCAGCCCCGCCGCCUGCUCGCCUCGCCAAGGGCGCGGUCCAUCGUGGACCGCGACCCCCGCGCCCGCACGGCCGGUCCACUGGACCCGGCUCACCGCCCCGCGCCCCCCCCGGUCCACCGUGGACCGGUGCACCCCGCGCCGCACCCGGUCCACCGUGAACCCGCCAGCCGCAAGCCGCCACGUGGCCAGGACGGCCACGGUCCCCACGCGCCCCUGCGUUUUUGCAAAAACCCUCCUAGGUUUCUUUGAAAUCAACCCGCGCUCCAUUUAGUUUUAGAUUUAUUUAAUUUAUGCCCCUGCUUUUACAGUUUAGCCCCUGCACCCGUUAGAAUUUAUGUAUUUAAUCCAAAAUGAGUUUUAAUUCAGUUUUAAUUAGUUUUAAUUACGAAAAAUAGUUCAGUUUAUCUACAGAAAUGCCAUUCAACUUGUUUUAGCCAUAACUUUUGCAUCGUAACUCCGAUUUAGGUGAUUCUGGUCGCUAUAGUUUCGUUUCAUCGAGUAGAAUACAGUAGUGCAGUUGCUUUAUGCUUUCGCAUGCUUUGGUGUACUGUUUCUGAUUAAGUUUGUUUGCUUGCAUGUAUUGUUCCUAUGAUUGAUGAUUGUCGCGUAUAGCCAACGAGACGUUCGUGAAGGAAGAGGUUCAGGAUCCCGCUGAGUUCGAGCAACCCGACUUCGAUCAAGGCAAGUGCAGACACCAUUUGAUCAUUUUGAACCUACUCAUUAAUGUCAUUUACUUUAUAUGCAUGUGUCCAAUGAAUGCAAACCCUAAGGACAUGACUAGCUUUACUUAUUAUUCCUUGCUCACCUGGGGUUAUGUAUUUGGGUAGUCUAGGAUAUACUAGGUUUGCUUAGCUGCUCUACUCAUCUUAUACACAUGCCUAAACAAGUAUUAAUCUCUACUCAACUUGACGCUUAAAUUGUGCUGAAUCUUUGGUCACUACGGUGAUGGCGAUGUUGGAUGCUUACGAGCAUCGUGAUGAUGGUGGUGACAGGGGGAGCGGGUACUGUUGGUGGUCCGGUUUGCCGGUCGUACCCGUCUCUGCUCUCCGUAAGGACUUAGUCAGAGAGCGGCCCCCUGGGACUUACAGUGCAGCUCCAAGCUAUAUGGGCUCUGGCUUGACUAAUUAUCAGGACCUCCACUGGUAGGGUGUUACUUUCCGGGUAGGCGUAAGGAAUGUAGCUUGGGUAUUCAUAUUAAGAGGUCGGUCAGUUCGGGGUCCCAUUGCUAUGGGCACGACUGCCGCGCGCCCCGGCAAAAACUUACGAGUGGCAUCCUAUUAGUUGGACCCUGUGAAAGGUCUCGUAGUGAGACCCUGCCUGCUCACCUUGGCAGUGUUUUGGGGAGUCAUGACCCCGGGCAAAUGGGAAUCACGACUUGGAGUGAACGUGCACACCUCUGCAGAGUGUAAAACUGAUAUAUCAGCCGUGCUCACGGUCACGAGCGGCCCAGACCCUCACUUGAUGAGCAAAUUGGAUUCACUGGAUACUUGGAGAUGGAACUUGGCGAGGUUGCUACCUCGUGUUUUGGCGGAAUGGCUAUUCCGUGUUGGCAGGAUUGCUAUCCUGUGUUAAUAAUUGGGGUUAAUCCCUGGAUUACUAUAAUAAUUAGGAUAGUCUUUUAAAAGAUGCUAAUUACUACUUACACUAAUUAAGGGUUGGGUUUAUGCUACUCAUAUUUAGUAAUAGGUUGUUCUAGUAAUUGUCAUAAUUAAAAGUGAUCAACUAAAAUGCUACCGCAGUCAAACCAAGUCAGCUUUACCUUGUUUUAAGCUUUGCAUGUCAUUUACUUUCCGUCUGUGCUUGCUGAGUUCGACAUGAGCUCACCCUUGCUAUAAUCAUUAAAGGUUGCUCGGACGAUCAGGAUUACAAUUGUGAUUUCCCUGAGGACUACCCUGAGUCUCCCGGUUGUUAGGCUCGUGUGGUUCUACCGUCGACCUUCCUGUGGCAAGGUGGUCCUGCUACGUCGGCGUUUAGUUUUCCCUUUAUUUAUGGAACAGUUUAGUUUAUGUUUCCCCUCCGCACUUUGAUAAACAUUUGGCUUGUAAUAAUGGUACUUUUACUCUCAUUUAUGUAAUUCGUUUGAACACUGUGUUUUGUACCAUUGAUGAUGUCGGUCCAUGUGUGUGAAUUUGAGAUCCUGGCGCACAUGUGAUUUGGCACCCGAAUGCUCUUUUACAUCCGGAUGUGACAUGCAAGGUAGGCACUAAGUGCCACAACAAAGUUAGUAAAACGUUUACCACCACCAAACACAACUACCAGGGUUCAGACCUAACCAUCCACUAGAAAAUAAAACUACGACACAUUCCACGCUUAGCAGAAAUAACAUCGAGCCACUCACUUUCU
rnacentral:lncRNA from 1 species